GGAAAAAAAAAUACACAACACUGCCCAUUUCCCCGUCUUUAUGUCCUUGUAAACAUUACAGCUAUUAAUAGAGACCAGCCCAAGGGCAGCAGCAAUGUGUUAAUACAAACUGAGGUGGUCAAACCAGUCCAUGACCUCAGAGCUAGGGCGCUGUGGCAGUUGUCACUAGAGAAGCGGCGCCUGUUAAAGUUCAUGUGUUCACGAGCAAAACAGCCACGGUGUAGGAAGACACUCAGUGUCAAAACUUGCAUGCAAGGACAGAAAUCUGACAAGCGCAGCAGAAGGCAGGGUACAUAUCCUGUCUGGGAACAGUCAGGUGCCACAAGUUUCCUGUUCUAAAAAUAUAUAAAGUAUGGAAUGUGACGGGGGGGAAAAAAUACGAAAAAACCCUGAAAUUAUAUAACUCACCGUGCUGUCCGAUCAAAGGACCACACACAGCGCAGGGCACGCUGGGUAAUACUUGCUGUUUGCUCAUCCAUAAAGAUCCAAGAGGACAGAGCAUAGUCCACAUGAAGCUAGCCGUAACAGGAUGCUCCUGUGCUCUGACGAGGUAUUAUAGCAUCUGUUUACCUCGAUGAAUGUUUUGGUAGUGUGAACAGUGUCGCUAUACAGUCCUACAUCUCUACGAGGAAUGAUUUUUAGUUUAUUCAGAGUGAAAAUCAGCAGUUAAGUGAGCAAACACUGAGGAAAGUGCUUGAAAGGCAGAGAGCCGACUCAUCAGUGUGACAGAACUCAUGGGGCACUGUGGACUGACAUUACUGGCGGGAGGAAGCCAGAGUACCCGGAGAACCCACGCAGGCACAUGGGAGAACAUGUAAACUCCACACGGAAAGCUCCCAGCUGGCCGACAGUUUCAAACCCGAAACUGUCUUGGAGUGAGGUGACAUUGCUAACCACUGCACCCCUAUGCUGCCCUCAACGGCUGCGUUCUCACUACUAUAAUAACCUGUUUUAGUUAUGCGAGGAAGCUAUCUCAGCAGAAUGACAAGCACUUACUAGCCGUGUUUGAUGUGCAUUUGCAUAUGUACAUACACCUCGUUUGGGUAAUGUUUCGAAAAGUUACCAGUAACCUGAAACUGUGCAAUUGCUUGCACUAUUAUCAUGUUCAUAACCUUUGUAAUAGAACAUGCCAUCGCCUAUUUAACCACAACAAAGUAACUCAGUAAAAAGAUGACAAUCUACCUAGUGACUAAGCUGAAACUGUACUGUAAAAGUUUUCCGUGGUAUUACCGCGCUGUCUUGUCUCACAUGGUGAUAGACUGUCCCCUUUUCUAUGCAACCAGCAUGAACUUGCACCACAGCAUGCAUGAGAUCACACAUGAAUUUAUUGUAAAAGUCAAGUAAUGUCGUGGAAAAACUGGGGCUUGUUUUUACUGCAGUUGGGUCGGUGAAGAAAUGAGUUUGUCUUCAUAUUUCAGCUGUAGUUUCUCUGGGUUUACGUAGUAGCUGUUCCUUAGUUAUUACCAAUGGUAACUUCAUAACAAUACAAAACAUUACCAUUUCAAUUAAGAGACUAGAGAAAGGAGGCUUACUGAGAAUUCAGUUCAGUGAUGAUUAAAUAAUAAAUCCUUGCCUGCUGUAUUUCUAUCACUUUUAGUCGUCCACAGCACCUCAGCUGCUUUUAUUUUUUAUAUAACGGGAGUUUUACUUAUGUAACUACAACAUUCAAAAAACACUGCAGCUCGAAUGAGAAAGCCCACAGGCAGCGGAGUGGAAUUCUGUCUAGUCGCCCAAACUAAAUGCCCGAGCUCUGUUACCACAAUUCAAGAAAGGCAUCUGGAUGCAGCAAUGCAGUUUUUCCCCUGCUCUCAUUCACUUAAACAACCGA